AUUGAACGCUGGCGGCAUGCCUUACACAUGCAAGUCGAACGGUAACGGGUCCUUCGGGAUGCCGACGAGUGGCGAACGGGCGAGUAAUAUAUCGGAACGUGCCCAGUAGUGGGGGAUAACUGCUCGAAAGAGCAGCUAAUACCGCAUACGACCUGAGGGUGAAAGGGGGGGAUCGCAAGACCUCUCGCUAUUGGAGCGGCCGAUAUCAGAUUAGCUAGUUGGUGGGGUAAAGGCCUACCAAGGCAACGAUCUGUAGUUGGUCUGAGAGGACGACCAGCCACACUGGGACUGAGACACGGCCCAGACUCCUACGGGAGGCAGCAGUGGGGAAUUUUGGACAAUGGGCGCAAGCCUGAUCCAGCAAUGCCGCGUGCAGGAUGAAGGCCUUCGGGUUGUAAACUGCUUUUGUACGGAACGAAAAGCCCCGGGUUAAUACCCUGGGGUCAUGACGGUGCCGUAAGAAUAAGCACCGGCUAACUACGUGCCAGCAGCCGCCGUAA
rnacentral:rRNA from 1 species